UCAAAGUGCUGGGAUUACAAGCAUGAGCCACCGCGCCCAGCCUAUAGCCUUUUAUAAUUGUUUUUCCAACCCCCAAAUCAGCAUCCAUGACUACAUAAACUUUUUGGCCGUUUGACCAAAUGGGGACAUCUGGCAUACUGCUAUCAACCAAUAUGUAGUUGAAAAUUAAGCUCAGGGUCUGAGUUCUGGGAUGUUCACCAGUACCAAGGAGUCAGAAUGGAGGUGUUGUAUAAGAGGAGAACUUAGCUCUGAAUGGACUAGUAUACCUGAUCACCAGCAGCAGUUAAAAGAAGUGACUUUCACUCUCCGGCAUGAUUCUGAGGCCUCCCC
rnacentral:lncRNA from 1 species